AAGUGGUCCAAAUAAUGCCUUGGUGUUGCAGACACCUUGUUACUAUUUUCCGUCUCACCUUUUACUAUUUUCAUAUUCAAUUUAUUUAAAGUAUAUCUCCGAGUAAGGCUUCGAGUCUCAGAGCCAUCCCCAAUUGUUACAGGUUUACUACCUAUAGAAGGUUAGAUAGACUCGCGAAUAUGGUAAGUUUUCGUUCAAUUAUCUAUGGUUGCAUCUGCAUCAUUUAGAAAGAUUUGCAAUUGAAACUUCCAAAUGAUUUUCUGAUGAAUAGUGUUUUAGUGUUUACUCUGGUUAAUAAAGUAAUGGCAAUGCAAAGCGUAUUGGAAAAUGACAUGGAAAACAUAGAGACGGUGGAUGUUCGAGGACCCAACUCGAAUCUGCCAAGUAGUCUUGAGUCUAAAGAUUAGGCAUUUUAGUGUCCAACUGAGAAAAGGUUAAUUAUAUCACAUGCCCCUAUGUUAUGUAGAAAUGUUCAGUUGAUCACCAUCAUAGUUACAAAACAUGACUCAUGAGUGUUGUCACAUCUCUGUUUGAGUUUACUAUUUAUUGUAGCUUUAUUAGAUCUCAACUUAUAGCUUUAGGAUCGCAGAGGAAGUCGUGAAGUUUUGAGCUACUCGUGUAAAGUACUUUUGCUUGUUAGUUUCUUGUUUAGCAAAUGCAAGCUAUUUGAUGACCCAUUCAUGUGUUCAGCAUUUGAGUUGCCUUGUUGGUGAUAUACACAUAAUAUUUACUAUGUGGAAGCUACAGGAUAUGAUACUCUCUAGGUUUGAGGACUAGCUCCACUUACGCUUUUGAGUCCAGUGGAUGUAUGAUACCCAUUUUGUGGUCCAAAAAGAAUGAGAUUUGAUGGACGCUCUAGAGGCCAAAUUCAUGUGGUUUCCUUCACUCUAUAUCUUCAGAGCUGAAAAGCCUUCAGAUAACAUGAAACUUGCAUCGAUAACUUUUGGAGGAAAAGCAUAUUGCUUAUUGUGGCUCAAUUCUAGAGAUCGAGGAAAGAAAAGUAUAUUGCUUAUUAGUUUUCAUUAUUUAUCAGUUUUCCGUGGUUGCUAAGUUUACUUCUUUCAGAUUUACGGAAAGCCUAUUUCCUUGCAAAGAAUGAGAAGGGAACAAGAGUCGAGGGACCAUAUAAGGCUUGUAGCUUUACGUAUUGUGCGGAUUCUCCACUUCCAUGGCUGUGAGAAUCUGAGGAAAAGUGCAAAAAGUGCAGUGUGACCUUCAGCUAAAGGUUUAUAUGCAUGUGGUGCAGUGCAACAUGAUCAAACCAGAUCACUGACUACCUUUCCUGGUGGUCUGAGAACUUGCUGCAGUGAACACUUCUGGCUUCAGUGAAUGAAUGAGAUCCGUUUAUGUGGUCCAACAACAACAUAUUCUACAACACACUGGGGUGUAUGAAAAAUGUAUUGGGGCGGCAUAAGUGGAAUCAUUUAUCUUCGACGUGUUCAAGUGAUGUGGAAAAUGUCACCAAGAAAGGAAUCAGUAGUUACUUUGGUACCUGUGGUAUCGUGUUAACUGUUCGUGGUACAACUUUCUCAGUUUUGUCAUAGGAGGGCAUUAUAAUGAAGGAACAAUUCCAUAUCCGGUGUCGAACGUUAGCGUAGUGGAGAAAGCUUGGUCUGCCUCUGCAUC